CAGCAGCCGCCGCGGUAAUACGGAGGGAGCUAGCGUUGUUCGGAAUUACUGGGCGUAAAGCGCACGUAGGCGGUUAUUCAAGUCAGAGGUGAAAGCCCGGGGCUCAACCCCGGAACUGCCUUUGAAACUAGAUGACUGGAAUCUUGGAGAGGUCAGUGGAAUUCCGAGUGUAGAGGUGAAAUUCGUAGAUAUUCGGAAGAACACCAGUGGCGAAGGCGACUGACUGGACAGGUAUUGACGCUGAGGUGCGAAAGCGUGGGGAGCAAACAGGAUUAGAUACCCCUGUAGUCCCUGUCUCUUAUAC
rnacentral:rRNA from 1 species